rnacentral:piRNA from 1 species
UCAGACCUAGAGAGCUGCAGCCGUGGAGU